ACAGGAAGUUGUAACUAGAAGCCAUCUGAAUACUAAGCCAAGGCAGAAUGCUCAUGAAGUAGCAACUUAAGUGGCUGUGUUAUCCUGAAAUCCUCAGGCAGCCAGACCGUCUUAGGCAAACCUUGAUAAAACAGUCCUUAUCCAGGUUUUUAUCUAAGGAAUCCCGAGUAGACUGGAGAAUGGAGAGACAGCAAAGGUUCAUGUCAGAGAGGGACGAGUAUCAGUUUCAACAUCAGGGAGCGGUGGAGCUGCUUGUCUUUAAUUUUUUGCUCAUCCUUACCAUUUUGACAAUCUGGUUAUUUAAAAAUCAUCGAUUUCGCUUCUUGCAUGAAACCGGAGGAGCGAUGGUGUACGGCCUUGUAAUGGGAUUAAUUUUACGAUACGCUACAGCACCAACUGAUAUUGAAAGUGGAACUGUGUAUGAUUGUGGAAAACUGGUCUUCAGCCCUUCAACUCUGCUGAUUAAUAUCACUGACCAAGUUUAUGAAUAUAAAUACAAGAGAGAAAUAAGCCGGCACAACAUCAAUCCUCAUCAAGGCAACGCUAUACUUGAAAAGAUGACAUUUGAUCCAGAAAUCUUCUUCAAUGUUUUACUGCCACCAAUUAUAUUUCAUGCCGGAUAUAGCCUAAAGAAGAGACACUUUUUUCAGAACUUAGGAUCUAUUUUAACAUAUGCCUUCUUGGGAACUGCCAUCUCCUGUAUCGUCAUAGGGUUAAUUAUGUAUGGCUUUGUGAAGGCCAUGGUAUAUGCUGACCAGCUGAAAAAUGGAGACUUUCAUUUCACUGACUGUUUGUUUUUUGGUUCACUGAUGUCUGCUACAGAUCCAGUGACGGUGUUGGCCAUUUUCCAUGAACUGCAUGUCGACCCCGACCUGUACACACUCUUGUUUGGGGAGAGUGUGUUGAAUGAUGCAGUUGCCAUAGUCCUUACAUAUUCUAUAUCCAUUUACAGUCCCAAGGAGAAUCCGAAUGCAUUUGAUGCUGCCGCAUUCUUCCAGUCCGUGGGGAAUUUCCUGGGGAUCUUCGCCGGCUCAUUUGCAAUGGGGUCUGCGUAUGCUGUUGUCACGGCACUGAUAUCCAAAUUUACCAAACUGUGUGAGUUCCCUAUGCUGGAAACGGGCCUGUUUUUCCUCCUGUCUUGGAGCGCCUUCCUGUCUGCCGAGGCCGCUGGCCUAACAGGGAUAGUUGCUGUUCUCUUCUGUGGAGUCACACAGGCACAUUACACCUACAACAAUCUGUCGUUGGAUUCCAAAAUGAGGACUAAACAGUUGUUUGAAUUUAUGAACUUCUUGGCUGAGAACGUCAUCUUCUGUUACAUGGGCCUGGCGCUGUUCACGUUCCAGAAUCAUAUCUUUAAUGCUCUUUUCAUACUUGGAGCCUUUCUAGCAAUUUUUGUAGCCAGAGCAUGCAACAUAUAUCCCCUCUCCUUCCUCCUGAAUCUGGGCCGGAAACACAAGAUCCCCUGGAACUUUCAGCAUAUGAUGAUGUUUUCAGGUUUGCGAGGAGCGAUAGCUUUUGCCUUAGCUAUUCGGAACACAGAAUCUCAGCCCAAGCAAAUGAUGUUUACCACCACUCUGCUCCUCGUGUUCUUCACAGUCUGGGUAUUCGGAGGAGGAACAACCCCCAUGCUGACUUGGCUUCAGAUCAGGGUUGGUGUGGACCCGGAUGAGGAUCCAAAGGAGCCCUCUUCACACCAGGCAACAAACAACUCUGGCAAAAGCACGACGAAAACAGAGACUGCCUGGCUCUUCAGAAUGUGGUACAGCUUUGACCACAAGUAUCCUUUGAUAAUGAUAAUCUCCCAGGUCCUGCUACAUGGCAGACACUGACUUCGAGCACUUAAUCAUUGAGGUCUGCGCUGCUGCUCUUCAAGAAAUGCAGAAAGGAAGCAUAUGUGAAAAUGAAAGAAAGAAAUGAAAUAAAGUCCAAUACGCUGCCAUCAAUAGCUGCUUACCGUCUCAUCCAGCUUCCAGCAAGACCUGGUUUUACCCUAUUUCUGCUAGAAACAAAGGAAGAAAUCUUAAUCCCUUUUGACAAGCCAUGAACUCACCUUUUUUUUUCUAACUGGAUCCUCUUCAUCAUCUUGGUUUCGAAAUAAUUCUUUCAAGACAGAGUUAGAAAUAGCUGCCCUGCUACGUCUGGCUGUGGAUAAGAGUGGGCAGAUGGGCUUCCCUGGUGGCGCAGUGGUUGAGAGUCCGCCUGCCGAUGCAGGGGACACGGGUUCGUGACCCGGUCCGGGAAGAUCCCACAUGCCGCGGAGCGGCUGGGCCCGUGAGCCAUAGCCGCUGAGCCUGCACGUCCGGAGCCUGUGCUCUGCAACGGGAGAGGCCACAGCAGUGAGAGGCCCGCGUACCGCAAAAAAAAAAAAAAAAAAGUGGGCAGAUGACAACGGUGGUGGCCUCUUCGUUCUCGCACAGAGCAGGAGGCUCCUCUCUCUUUACACGUAGGGAAACUGAGGCUCAGCAGAGCUGGGACUGAAACCCUGGGCAUGGGACACCCCCAUCCAGGGGCUCUUUCCCUAUCUGUGUUUUAUCGCUCUGGACUUCAGCUGGGAGUAGCUGCCGUUUGAUUUCUGGUUUAACCGAAAACACCUACAAGUGCUUAUAACAAAUUCUCUUCGGAGGAAUUUUGAACUUCACUUUUAUUCCUUCACGUAUCUGUUUCCUUGAGUGAGUUUCUUGAUUUCCCCUUUUAUCUGUCUCAUCAUUCCAUUUGUUAACGCAAACAAAUGCUCCUUUCCCAUGCAGCCAUCUGAUUAAACCAUACAUAAAGUUGCUUCUCUAUUAAAGCCCUAAAUUAGUUGCCAUGCUUGGGAACGUUCUUGAACCAGUACAUGACCAAAUUCAAUGAUGAAAUAUAUCUUCGAUGCUCCUUGCUGAGAAAAACGCUAUCCAUUAUCUCAUAGGCUCACAGAUGGGCACAUUCUGCGGUUCUAGCAAUUGCUUCAGUUAUGUCCCCUACCAGGUCCAAGUUCAUGUCCUUGGAUUGUUAGAUGCUUUUUGUUUAUUUGAGGUUUAGCUGGUGAGGAGAAAUUCCGUUUCCUUUCAUUUGCUUUUCCGGAAUAACUAGUCAUUUUCCUUUCUGGAAAAAAAGAAAAGUUAGACUUGCCCUUGGCUGUGAUAUUACUUAUUAUUUGGUGAAGGAAAUUGACAACAGUCAUCUGAAAAGUUUUGUGGAGAUUGAAUGUAAUGUUUUUUUCUCACGAUUUUUCUCUUGUUUUCUAAUAGCUAGUGUUUUCUUUUUCUUUUCAUUUUAUUCAAAGGUUUUAAUAAAAAUAAUAUAAUACAAAAAGGCCACAGAGUGCUGAGAAAGAAAUGAGACUUUAGUAUGAUUAUUUUUAAGUGUAUUUUUUACAACAUCAAGUAUCAGUUUUCUCUUGCAAUUGGCUCAGCACUCAUUUUGAUGAGAAUAAUGGAAAAAUUAAAUGAGGUUCCCCUUUGAGUAAAGUUAUGCUUUUCAUCCUCUCUCUCCACUUUUUUUCCUCGUCUGGUCUCCAGUUCUUUGUACACAGUGGUGUUCCUUUACCCUUAGCCAAAUGAAAAGAGAACAUUUUUCCCACAAAUUUAUUAUGCUGAGAGAGUUUUAACUGGCAUAUAGGGAGAAAUCUAUAUUCAGAUAAGAAUUUAUACAAGUCUGAGCUUGUCUUUGAAAUCCGUUUUGUCUGUGCUUGGACCUUCCUACAAAUUUGAAGGGAGAGGGAGUAGUUAAAAUUGGAUUUAGUUCUCUUUUGCCCUUUAGUUUAAUCAAAAAGAAAUUCUUUAUAUUCAGUGAACUUAAAUAUCUAUAACUUUAAAUAAGACAUUAUUUUUCCUCCUUCUGUAGACAAGCUAUAUUAAGGGGGGCAUAUGCAUAGAUGAGACAAUUCUUUCAUGUGACAGAGACUCCAGUUCACUAAGGUCUAUCCUUUCCCCACUUUUCUACUUACCUAGAUUGGAAUCCAUGCUCCACCAUUUCAAUAACACCUUUCCAAGCACUCUAGAUUCCUUUGUCCACUAUCCUUUUGGUACACCCAUCUGACAAAACCCCAAGCCGUGGUGGACCCAACUCUCUGCUUUUGGGGGAAACUGCACCUGAGUUGCUGAGCCCUGUUAGAGUUACACACCUGGGAAGACUUCUUCUCCAUUAAACUGUUGAAUACCAACCUCAAAUGGAUCUGUACUGCUCAACUCUCCUACUUCACAACUCUCAUAACUUUGAUCUUUAAUUACUCUUUCAAACCUAUGUCUGCUCUCCUGAAACUUCAACUCUCCAACUUUCCCAUCUUUUUUUUUUUUUUUUUUUUUUUUUUUUUUUUUUUGCGGUACGCGGGCCUCUCACUGUUGUGGUCUCUCCCGUUGCGGAGCACAGGCUCCGGACGCGCAGGCUCAGCGGCCAUGGCUCACGGGCCCAGCCGCUCCGCGGCAUGUGGGAUCUUCCCGGACCGGGUCACGAACCCGUGUCCCCUGCAUUGGCAGGCGGACUCUCAACCACUGCGCCACCAGAGAAGCCCCAACUUUCCCAUCUUGCUCUCAACAAAUGAGCUCCCCUCCUAAUAGAGAGAGGAGGCUAAUGGAGAAUAGAAGCCAUUAGAUGGGAACUCCUCUCAUCUAUCUGUCAAACGUUCAAAACAACCUACUUCCACACUUUCUCUUUUCUUAUAUUGUCAACCACUCCUUCUCAACUAAAUCUUUUGAACUGACUUGUUAAAAAUGUUUAUUUUGGAGUAUAGUUGAUUAACAAUGUUGUAUUAGUUUCAGGUGUACAGCAAAGUGAUUCAGUUAUACAUAUACAUGUAUCUAUUCUUUUUCAAAUUCUUUUCCCAUUUGGGUUAUUACAGAAUAUUGAGCAGAGUUCCCUGUGCUAUACAGUUAGGUCCUUGUUGGUUAUCUAUUUUAAAUAUAGUAGUGUGUAUAUGUCGAUCCCAAACUCCCAAUUUAUCCCUCCCCCCCAAACUUAAGAAGUCUUAACCAUUUAACACCAACUACAUAAAUAAAAACUUUCAGUAACCUCACAACCCCUUCAUCAAUCAUCUUCUUUCAGCUUCCAUUUUAAAGUCUAAAUUCUCAGAAAAAAAUGACUAUAAUCACUGUCUCCAUUUAUUCUCCUUCUACUCAGUCCUCAUCCCACUCAGUUCUGGCUUCCAUCUCAACCACUUUACUAAAGCAGUUUGUUAGGUCCACAAUGACCCCCAGAUCUCUAAACCAUACAGAUAUUUUUCAGUUCUCUUCUGACGUGUCUUUUUUUUUUUUUUACAUCUUUAUUAGAGUAUAAUUGCUUAACAAUGGUGUUAGUUUCUGCUUUAUAACAAAGUGAAUCAGUUGUACAUGUACAUAUGUUCCCAUAUCUCUUCCCUCUUGCGUCUUCCUCCCUCCUACCCUCCUUAUCCCACCCCUCUAGGUGGUCACUAAGCACCGAGCUGAUCUCCCUGUGCUAUGCGGCAGCUUCCCACUAGCUAUCUACCUUACAUUUGGUAGCGUAUAUAUGUCCAUGCCACUCUCUCACUUUGUCACAGCAUGUGGUACUGUUGAUGGCUCCCUGCUUGUCAUGCUCUUUCCCUUGUCCUCCCUGACUCAACACUCUCUUUGAGUUUCCUCCUGUCACUCUGGCCAAUCGUUUUCAGGCUCAUCUUUCUGUGUCCUUUAAAUGCUGGGAUUAAUCAAGAUUCUAUCCAAGGCCCUCUUCUCACUCUGUUCUCUAUUCCUAACUGUCCAUCUAUACUGUUGGACUAAAAUAACAGGGAAACAGAGAUAAGUCACAAAUUUAAACCUCUGUCAAACUCCAGGUACGUAGAUGCAACUUACUUGAUAGCCCCACACAUAUGCCUUAAACUCAGGAAUUUCCCCUGCAAACCUAAUCCAUGUCCAGUGUCCGCUCUGUACUGUUAACGCAGACAAAAAACUCAAGCAUUUUCUUGGAUUCCCUCUCCUUUAUCCAGCUGUUAUAUAAAUCAUCUCUCACCAGUUUUACUACCUUCAGAAUUUACGUUCAGGAUAGCUUAGAAUGUUCUGAUUGUUAUUGUUUGGUUGAGUUUUUUAGAAGAACUACCUAACACCUUUUUUUUUCCUCCAACACACUGAAACAAGAAUUAUAAAUGGGAAAUGAUGUAAGUGUAAAUACUGCGCAGGAUCAAGUAUUUUUUGAAAAAAAAAAAAAAAUUACAUGCCAGGAAAUAUUUUGUUUUUUUAAAGAAAAACAACAUUAAUAGUGGGCAUCAUUCUUGUCACGUUCUCGAGGUCAGAGUCACUAAAUUACACAGGACUGAGACACAUUCUCACAGCUACACCCAAAAAUUUCAAGAGGUCUAAAUGGAUUAUCAUAUCUUCUUAGAUACAUACAUUUCUUCCAUUUGGAGGAAUUGUAAAACAGAGUAUUAAAGUUCAUUUUCUGAUCAUAAAAUCUUUUAAAUGGGCCUCCUCAUUGUAUUGGAUUUCUCAAGAGAUCUGUAACUUAGCCUGUAAAAGAGAUGUCUUAAUAUAUUUUAAAAUAUUAUCUUUGGUUCUAAGCAGAAAGCACUAAAGACUUAAAAUGAACAUUUUACCCUGUUUUCUUUUGGUCUUGACUGUUUUUACACUAGGAAAGAAUGAUACAUUCUUCUGCAAAACCUCCUAAGAAUAUAGAACUAAAUGCAUCAGAAUAUUGCAUUGUUUGGAAAAAUGAAAGAGGUGUAUUUUUGCAAGUAAACCCUCUACCUAUAUUGAAAGCUCAGUAUUCAUAGGAAUGUUGAUAGGAGCUUUCUCAAAUAAUAUGCCUCCCUCUGCCAAAAUACAAAACAACCUCCAUCAGUUAAUAAUGAGCAUGACUAAUUAUUAACCUGAACAACAGAUGACAUCAGAGAAAACGGGCAUAAAUUAUCCCAAAAUGAACUGUGAAUGAAUCUGUCCACUUAAUGAAUCUAAUUUACAUGAUUCUUCUCCCUGCUGUUCCCUUUGUAAAUAAUCUUUCAUUUAAAUAAUUUCCAGCCCCAAAGCUGGAAUCAUUAUUCUGAGAAUUAUGUGGGUUUGGUGGGUAAGCCAUUCCUUCAGCCGUAACUCGUGAGCUGUUCAGAUCAUUGAUCAGUACACCUGGCUGUAAGUUUAGGUAUAAUGUUGCUCAGGUAGUCAGCUCAGGACCUUUUUCAGAGCUCAGAUCACAGAGAGAGAACUCAUGGGAACUCAUGGGACCUAGAACCAGGCUUCCAAGGCAGCAGUGUUGGGUAAAUAGCCUAGUGAAAAUGUAUACCCUCUGUCAUUUUUAACUUAUGAAUAGCAGACAAAAGUGCUUCCUUUUAUAUGUAAACAUGAAUCAUCUUUGACACCAUCAGAAGAAUCAGUGGUAGUCAGGCCACUUUCACAGCCUUCCAGGUUCCAGCAGACCCUUUUAAUUCAUGCUGUGGGGACACAAUGGGGACUCCUGCAGUUUUCUCUUUACAGCACCUUUUUUUUUUUUUUUUUUUUUUUUUUUGCUGAAUCCAAGACCACAUUAUGAAGCCAUAUCAUUGAUUUGAUCGACUACCACUUGUGGCAGUUCUCUCUUAACUGUUGAAAAUUAUUUUGUUUCCCUCUUAACAUCUUGCUAAAACAUCUCAUUCUGAAAACUGGCUUACUGUUGCCCUUCAUUCCCACACUUUGCUUAGAAAAAGAGAAGAAUUUUAAAAGAAUGCCCUCCUGUUCCUGUCACUACAAAGUGAGAAAUCAAAAGGAGUUUAAUAUUUCCUGUCACACAUGUACUCAUGUGAGCCUGAUCACACAAAAUUAGUCCCUUCAUAAUAAAAAGGGAGAGAACCAAGGAAAAAAAGCGUUCAUAACCUCUUCUGGUAUUAAGUCUAUGGGAUGUGCUACACAUUCAAACCAUCUAUUAAGGUCAAAACCAUUAUCUCCUUCUCUGUGUGUCUAAACUGCCUGUAUCAGUCAUUUCAGCGGAUAAAAGAAUAAAGACUAGAAAAUAGAAUAGUUGCAGAUUUGAGAAACGGUCAAAAGUGUCAGUGCCAUGAAUGGCACUAAUACCACUUGUAUUAUUACAGCCAUUUUUAUAUUACUAGCAUUUGAGGAUUACAUUAUGUAGCAUUUGAGGAUUGUUUUGACAAUGUGUUCAAAGAGAGAUAAGAUAGAAAGAAGGAAGAGUCUUUUCACAAAGAGGGACAUGUUUGUGUGGCCUGUAUAUCCCGGCUUGAACGUGCACUAGACAUACUGUACCCAACCUGAGUGAUUAAACAGAUCACCCAAAAGGAAUUCUUGCAGCUAAUUUUCAGUCUGCUUGGUCUUUUGAAAUAACGUGAUAUGCUAUGGUCUCCACGGGGGCAUGUGUCUGCAGCAUUGCCAGAUUUUCACUUGCUCAGGUUAAUCUUGACAAAUCCAGUUCCUGGCAGCUUUGUGGCCUUGAAGGUUAUUUUAUUUGUGGCUACUUAUUUGCUCUAGUGGCUACCUAGAUAAUCGCAUUGGGUGGGGUGUUUUGAAUCUAAGGUAGUUCAAUGAUCAACAGGAAUACAUCCCCAAAAGCUUUGUAAGUGGCCUCAGGAGGAAUCUCCCAGCUCAUUAAGUUCUGGAUGAGGGCCUUCUGGUCAUAAGGAAGCACACGUUCUGGUGUUUGUUUCAUUGAGAGUUCCCUUCCUAAGGGAUCAACAGGCAGCUUCCAGCAUGGUCAGCAAAGCACUCCGAUGUGCUAAGUAAACUCUGAAACUUGGAACCACAGUUUCCACAUUCACCUUUGCCUGCCUCCUACUAAGGUGGCAGGGGAGCCGGGCCCUUCCCAUGACAUGGCUCAUAACACAGCUCUACAUCCAGACGCGGAUUCGUCAAGAAUCGGUGACAUUCAACUCUCAGGGCCCUUCCGUCAAGGGAGCCCCUUGUAAAGAAUCUGUCCUUAUUUUAUACUCAAAGUUUACAUUCUCUUUGUUAAGGAGGGUCCCCCAGAUUGGAUAACCUUCAGGCGCCACAAAAUCUGGAUCCACUCCUAUUCAUUUGAGUAAGCAAGACACAGCAAAUACGAUCUAUUGUGAGCCUUAUUGUAAUAAUAUGUGUCACAUCACUGUGAAAGAUUUCAAUCUCUAGCACCCAUUUAGCACCAUUUUCUGCAUUAUUGGAGCAGUUUUGGUAAAAUAAUAUAUUUUCAAUAUACUUCCGCGGGGCUCAAAAAUUCCUCAGGAAGUUCAAUCCUCAAUUUGGUAUCUGAAACUAAUGUUAUUCCUCUCCACAUCUCUCCCCAACCAUCUUGCACAGCUUCUCCUGCUCAUCACACUAUGGCAAGUACCUUGUCACCUCCUGAAAAGUGUGCUUAAAUUCACAGGUACCCAGUCAUGUUUUUUUCCAGGAUGUCCUCCAAUACCUUUCAUUCUUCAGUCUAAAUUUGCACUGUACAGCCAAUGACCCAGAAUGACUCUCUUGCCCUCCUUUGCCACUUGGUACAGUUAUGAAUUGAUGAUUACGUUGAAAUCUCACUCUGGAUCCCCCAAACCACCCCAGACCACAUAUCCUUAACUUCAAGCAUUGGAGGCUCCCAAACUGGUCCCAUCUCAGGCAUACGUUCUCAUGACCAAGACUUCAUGGGAGCUCGGCACCUGUAAGCCUUCUGCUCCAAAGGGUCUGCACGAUAGAAUCACUAAAGAACAGUGACAAAAAGCCUAAUGAAGGAAAAUUACCUCCCAGUCAUACCAAAUUAAUGCUAUCCUGAGAUAAACCCAGAGAAAAGAACUGAUUAUAUGCAAUAUAAGUGCCAAAAGGCAUUUGGGCAGAUUUUUCAGCCUAAAGGAUAGUGGGAGGGGCAGUCCUAAGAGUUUUGUUAAGGAUUUCUUAAAGAAUUUUCUUUGAAUUAAGUACCCUUUUCAGCUUUAAUUAUGAUUCUGCUACCAGCAAGAGUGGUAAAGUUCAGAUGAUCCAAACUGCACAAAAUAUGUAGAAAUGAAUAAAAACUUUUGUCCUGAUGACUGACAAAUUUCAAUAAAUUCCUCAUCUCUCUUUUUUACAUUCCUCAUACCAAGCCAUUCAUACUGUCAUCUUAGAAAGAGCAAAUGAAAGGGCACCUGCAGACAGGUUUUGGGAUCUUAAGAGAACCUUUACUGAGUGGAGAUAAGAUCUGAACAGAAGACCUUUUCUGAGUAUAUUCUGAAAUACAGACAGAUGAGUAUAGUAAGGGCAAAUAAUUAUUAUGAAUUGCAUCUGGAAAAGGAUUGGUGCCCCCUUUCCAGAAGCAAUCUUGAAGAGGGUGCAAACAGAGAGCCCUGGGAGAGCUGCCAAAGCCCAAACCAAAACCUCAUUGACAGUGUCUCUUCAGACUCUGCUAUAGAAUGGUUGAGAUAGGAACCCAUCUUGGUUCUCCGCUGAGCAAUCCCAACUGCUCAUCAGUAACUGUUUGCUCACCAUGAUAGCCUCUAGGACUACCACUGUGCCUGGCACAUAGCAGGUGUUCUAGUAAAUGUUUAAUCGGCAAGUAAUCAGAAAGGUCCUUCAGUUAAAUAAUAGUAAAAACACGAACGUUUUCCACAAAAAGGCUUGCUCUAUUUCAGGCUGGUGUUGGGCAUUGGCUUUUGACCUCUGCCCACUGCUUUAUUUAUGUAUUUGCUUUGCACUUAAUUUUUCUGGCUUAGCAUGGUUGUGCACAGAAUCUGGAACCUAAGACCGUAUUAGGCCAUUCAAGCACGGAAUUAUAGUUUGUUGGCUGAUAAUACGCAAGGGUGCCUAGGAGACUAAGCAGGAUGUAAUAGUGCUGAGGGCUUCUAACAGGAAUUUAAUCAACCGUGAUUCCAAGACACUUAUUAUUUUGUUUACAGUGUCACGAUGCACAAGUUCUCACGUUGUGUCUUUAGUGCUCUUUAGAGUUCUCCUAUGCAUUAGUCUUUGACCUGAUUGCUUUUUUCCAUGUCAGUUAACACCUUUUUGGGAGCUGUAAUUGUAUGUAGCACACACCAUAAUUCAGGCAGCACAAUUCUUUUUUUCUUUUUUUUUUUUGCGAUACACGGGCCUCUCACUGUUGUGGCCUCUCCCGUUGCGGAGCACAGGCUCCGGACGCGCAGGCUCAGUGGCCAUGGCUCACGGGCCCAGCCGCUCCGCGGCACGUGGAAUCUUCCCAGACCGGGACACGAACCCGCGUCCCCUGCAUCGGCAGGCGGACUCUCAACCACUGCGCCACCAAGGAAGCCCAGCGCAAUUCUUUUACAGAAGCAGUUGUCACUCCCAGAGUCGUAUUAAUAAUUGUGAGAAAACAGUGAAUUGAGCAACGGUUGUAAACAUGAACCUAAUGAUCAGAACUGAACACAGCCAAGCUCGGCUUUGGAACAGGAGAGGAAAUGAUCAGAGUCGUGUGAUUGUUGAGAACUUCAGAGAACACCUCAACAAUCUGCUCUUUUAGUGACAACUGUCAUUCACCAGGCGCAACAAGGGUUUUCAAUGAUGGGCCAGUGCCAUAUGAUGGAGAGCCUUAAGAACAGCAGUGAAAAGGAUCUGAAGAAUCAUUUAUUCAUAUUAGAAACAAAGUAGUAUGUCAGUGCAGAAGGAGGGCAUGUGACAUAAAGGAAGGCAGGAGGGAAAAGGAAUUCUGUGCACUGAGCGAGAAUCAAGCAGCCUGGAACACAACUGGAGAAGAUCCUCAUCCAAGGCUUGAGCCGAGUAGGUGAGCAAGAGAGCUGGAAACUGCAUUUCUUCCCUCCAGACACUCAGCUCCUAUGCGGCAAAUUGUAAUUAAUUACAAAAGCCAGAGAUGACAGCCAACACACGCUAGCAGUGAAGGAGGCUGGGGGCACCUGUCCAAGGAGCAGUGUGAUGAGCCUCCACACCAGGAGGGGGCACUCAUGAGCAGACUGUGAGACAGAGCAAGGUGGCAUUCCAGGGAUGCACAAAUAAUCAUCGAUGAUGAUUGAGAGUGAAGCCCUCGGUGGCAGGUAGUGGCGUAGGGAAGCCAAAAGUCCGUCCCUCGGGCUGUCAGGUGACACAGAGCCUUGCGUAGAAGGCAUCAGUAAGAUUUAAGUUAUGGAAUCUGAAGGUUUCCAGCAUUCUUAACCACUCCUUGGUUAUCCAACAAGGCCUAAUAGGGAAGAGAUCACAUGGCAUUCUUUUGUGUUAUUAGCUAAGGUGGUGUGACUUGUGGAACUUUGAAGGUCUUUGGAUUCAAGACACAUGGGUUCAGACCCCUGUCUCUUUCACUUAAUAACUGAGUGACUUGGCCAGGUCACUUUUCAAAUCUCUUUCGUAAUCUUCAAAACGGGAAGAAGCUAUUGUCAUAAUGGCAAAGUAUCAAGCACUAUACCCACAUGCAUGAUUAUUUUAAUCAAUUGGCAGCCUAGACAUACAAUCCUCAGGCUGCUUUAAGUCAUUUUUUAACAUAAAGGUGAUGGAUUACCCUGGACCAUUCUGACUGUUUUCCUCAACCCAGUGGCAGCUAUGAGUGGAAGCAAACACCUGUGUAAGGCCAUCACCUGGUUUGGGUGCAGUCAGGUGUGCCAUUAUUUUUAAAGAAUCUUUUAAAAAUAUGUGUAUGCAUGUCCCAAGUUCUGUACACACACUCUAGGCUAGGAAUGAGUUAAAUGAUUAAACAGAGCUGACUGGCUCCCACCUGCUCCCUCUCUCUCUCUCUCUCUCUCUAUGGGUUUCACAAAGGUGUUUGUUAAUAUAACACUGCCCUGUCUCCCUGUCAGGAGCUCCAGUCUGACACAGAAAAACACAGACCAAAUCAGGCCAAAGAUGUUUACAAUGCCUUUCCCUUUGCCACAUUUUUUGUGCAAACUGAAAGAUUACAGAAAACUGGAUUCAGUUUUAUUUAUAAUGAAGCCUCUUAGAGUGGAUUUAGGCACAACUGGAUUGACAACCGUAACACUUUGACACUGCAAUAAAAAAUGAGAGCUCUUUUCUUUCUUGGAACUCUGCAAGACCACUACGGUAAUGUGGCCAGUUUUCAGCCUGGUACAAAAAAAUACACACUCCGUACCUCUCCAAAACCACAUGAGUAUAUGUUUUAAUAGGGCUUUUUAUUUAAAGAGACAUCCAUAUUAGUCUCUUGUAUAAUAUAUAAAGGUCACUUAAUUGGCGUUCAAGGAUCCCUCCUUGCUUGAGAGAAAAGCAAAAAGCAUGUGAUUCUCCUUCAUGGGGUCAUGACUGCUUCCACUCUGGCCCUGACGAGAAGCAGCAGUGGGUUCUGACUUUCAAAGUACCCACUCCUCUGCCAACAGAGAGGAUGUAGGUCUAGGAAGAAAGGGAUGUGGGUACAAGGCCAGGGUCUCCAUAGGCUGGAGAUUCCUCUUCCCACUCUUUAGUUUCACAAGAAUCUUCAUCAGGGUUUGUCAAGCUGUCUCUAAAGUAGUAGUUUCUAAGCAUGGAGGCAGCUCAGCAUCCCCUGAGGCACUGAUUAAAAGUUCAGAUCACUGGUCCUCCCCCUGCAGAUUCUGAUUCAGGCAGCCUGGGUGUAAGGCCCAGGGGAUCUGUAUAUUUAACCAGUAUUGCAGGGGAUUCUGCUAGAGUAGGUCAACAGGAAAGCUUUGGGAAAGUCCAGAAGUCCUCUGAAGGAGCUGCCCUGUCAGAUUCCAAUAGAGCCUGACUACUGUGCCCAUUUUACAGAAGAGAACACUGAGGCUCAAAGUCACAAAGUAAGUAAGGGGCCAAACUGGCUCAUGAAUCAAAAUCUGUUAGGUUGCAUAGUCCACACUGUGACCCACAAUGAGAUAGUCCCUCCAGUGCAGCGGGUGACUGAGUCUCAUGCCACUUCCUCUGCUGUGGCUUCUAUUCGUUUUCCGCAUGUCAGCUUCCAACAGCUGUCUACUAAUAUAUGCUGUUGAAAUGUAAUAACCAGGAUUGUUAAAUCAGAAACCUUGACUUUAAACACAUUUUAACUCCAUGGUCAUGGUAUAAGGGCAUGUAGGUCGAUCCAGAUCUCUCCUGAGAGUCAAGUUCAUGGGCUUUGUGACACCUCUUUUCUGCUAUGUUCAGGUCACUUUUUCAGACAUGCACAGGGUCAAAAUUGAAUUUCCAGACAAUUAAAAUUAAAAGAAGUCCAAUUGAUCGACACAUGCAGAUGCUUACCCAGGGAUGUCUUAUGUCUAGUUCAGUGCUCUUCACACCAAUUAUAGCCUUUUUGUUUUUCAAAUAUAAAAUUAGUAAAAGCAAAACUGCUCGGGUUGAAGAUGGGAUGAACAUCCUAGAGCCUAGAGUCCAACCCUCUCUCCUACCUUCUUCUCCUCCCCAUGACAUCCACUGAGGUCCCUCCCAUACAGCAAGGAAUCUUGGGGCUCCACAGAACACAGCUAGAAAGCCAAGGUCCCAGGGUCUCCUUGCAAUUAAAAAAAAAAAAAAAACAGACGCUAACGAAAUGCAUAAGAUUUUGUCGAGAGAGUAAAAUGUAACAAAUGAAUAAAACACCCCUUACUUGGCUCCGUUGUUAGGAAUUAAUACAAUCUGAUAAUUGAAGACUUUAGACAAAGUUAGGGACUUCUGCACUCUGUGGUGUGUUCCUCUGCUGGCGGCUUUUAUUACCAGGGCAAGCCAUGGGGCUCACCUAGCUGCAGUAACAUGCUUUCCUCAAGCCCAACCUUCAUGGCCAAUCACCCAGGCCAGGAAGCAGCCUGCUGGAUUGUAGAUGAGAUACAGGUUGUCAAAUUCAACUCAUGUCAUGGCUGCUGGCUAUUCUAGCUGUCUCUGUUGUAUAGAGAGAGAUAAUAGAAUUGAAGUUUCAGACCAAGUCAGAACUUAGUGCUUCCUGUGAAUCACUAGUUUCCAGCUUAUUAGUUCUGAAAUGAUCUGGAUAGUUAGGUAGCCACGGAGCAUUAAUUGGUUGCUAAAUAACAAUUGGUUGGACAAAUCCAAGUUUUAUAUACAUUUGCAAAAGGACCUAAUGUGUCUUUUAAUUUUAGAGGUUUCAUUGUACUAUCUGUUCACAGGAAUCACAACCAAGCAAACGCAGCUAGUCAGGGCAAUGAUGUGAUGUGCAUACAAUGAGGAUUUAGGCCAGCCAGGACACAGAGUGAAAGAUAGUUCCUGGUGGGUGGGAAUUACCUUGUCCGGACCAGAGGGAAACACUGAUGUUCCCAUCAGUCCUCCAUAAAAAGACUACAGUAGGUGUAAAAUAACCCAUUUCCUUAAUGCCAUUUGCAGCAACAUGGAUGGACCUAGAGAUUAUUAUACUAAGUGAAGUAACUCAGACAGAGAAGGAAAUACUAGAUGAUAUCACUUAUAUGUGGAAUCUAAAAUAUGACACAAAUGAAUGUAUCUAUGAAACAGACCCACAAAUAUAGAGAACAGACUUGUGGUUGCCAAGGGGGAAGUGGGCUGGGGGAGGGAUGGAUUGGGAGUUUGGGACUAGCAGAUGUAAACUAUUAUACAUAGAAUGGGUAAACGACAAGGUCCUACUGUAUAGCACAGGGAGCUAUAUUCAAUAUCCUGUGAUAAACCAUAAUGGAAAAGAAUAUGAAAAAGAAUGUAUAUAUAUGUAUAACUGAAUCACUUUGCUAUACAGCAUAAAUCAGCUAUACUUCAAUAAAAUAAAUUUUUUUAAAAGUCACCCAUUUCCUGAGCCACAGGUCCAGCCCAGCCUACUUGACAGAGCAAGAGGCUCAGGUUUUAGUUCCCGAAAGUGAACUUGAUCAUACCUAAGAGUAACAAUACACUCCUCAACUGCUCUUAUUUCUUCUAAUGUAUUUCCUGCGUUUUAUAUAUGAUUUAAAUUAAAAGUCCUGAAAGUAACAUGGAGGAGUGAAAAGAAUAUAACUCUUGGCAUCAGAGUACCCUGUGAUCAUAAACAAGUUACUUAAGGUCUCUGAGAUGUGGUUACUUCAGCUGUAAAUUGGGAAUAAUAAAUACAUAUUUACAGGAUUAAUGUGGGGAUCAAGUGAAAUGAUACAUCUGCAUAUAAGUUAGCAAACACAUAAACACACAGAAGACUGCCAAGAAAGCACAGUCAUUAUUAGUUAUACUAUUUGAAUAAAGGCCAAACAAGGGUAAAUCCUUUCCCAUCUUCCCCACGUCAUCUUCUCCCCUCUCCAAGAUCAUCAUGAAGGAAGAUAAAACCUAUUACGUUUCAUAAAUGUUCCCAUUAACUAGUACCCAGACGAGUGGAUCUCAACCCUUGGGCACACAUGAAUCAUUUGGGUUCAUUGGUUUGGGGUGGGACCUAGGUACAAGAUAUUUUUAACAAGCACUCAGGUAUUUCAAUGUGCACCCGGGGUUGAGAACCAAUGACUUUUCUGAUUCAAGAUUCUGCCCACUCCAAUCCAUUCUCUAGUGUACUAGUAAAAUAGGCUUCCCAAUAAUCAAAUCUGACCUUGUCAUUCCUAGAUUUAAAAACCUCAGAAUACUUCCUUUGCCUGCAGCAAAGAGAGGGAAUAUACUUUUCCUAUGUGCCAAUCCUAGCAAGGUGGAGGGGGCUUCCUAAAGCCCUGUGCAGAGAAAGAUUCCAUGGGUCGGCCUGGGCUCAGCAGGAAAGAACGCCAUUCAUGGCGGACUGGGGACAUCUGCCAUGAGGGUAGAAAGGGGGAAGCUCUGGGAUUGCCAUUCCCAGUAUAUAGAAUAAAGCUGAAACUCUAACAUGACAUUGAAGAUCCUGAAGGGGUUAUUUCUCUAGUUCCACUUCCUGUCUAUGAAGCCACAAGCUUUAUCCACGAUCAAUUUCUUAUUUUCUUAUUUUUCCUCCCAAGCAUGAAUCCUUAAGUCUGUGACUUUGCUCCUACUACUCCUUUGCUAGGAAAGGAAAGGGCCUUGCCCUCCUCCCACCCCACCAAUACCACUCCUUAGUCCACUAAUCCAUCUUCAAAAUUCAGGCUGAAGGUCACUUUAUCAAUUUCCUAUGACGACGCCAGAUAUAAUUAGUCUCUCUCUCCACCUCCAUCCUUGCGAAGCAUUUUCCCCUAUUUUUAUAACUGAUUUUGUCAUAGUACCAUAUGGUAAUUUACUCUCUGUUUACAUAUGCAAGUCCCCCAAUAUACGAUGCACAUCACUACUGCUCAGUAAAUGUCGAAGAAUGAAUGAAUGAAUGAAUGAACGGACUCCUUGGUGGCAGAUACCGUUGCUUACUCAUCUUUGUUUCCCAAUGCCCAGCUAAUAACUGACGCAUAGUAGGAAUUCAGAAGUCUGCUGAGUGACUGAGUCAGUGUCUAAAGGCUCUGCUGCCAUCCAUAUGGCGCAGUGAUCUGGGCUCAUUCUGAGUCACAAAUCACGAUCUGCCAGAAAACUUCCAUCUGGAGAGAUCACUCCCCUCAGCAGCUUUUCCUUUCAGUCUUUAGGCCUGUUUUGUUCCUUAUUCAACAGGAAAUAAUUGAAUGCUAGCACUGGCUCAAAAAUAACUCGGGAAGCUAUAAAAAUUGUAAAAGGUCUAUUAGUAAUAUUGUGCAGGGUGCUUUAUGGCAGCCUUGCAGAGAGCCAUCCAUUUAGUUCCCAGGGUUUCUUUAUGCAUUUCUGUUGCAGGUGUUCUUCUUAUCCAGGUGGUCAAGGCAGCCCACCAGCCCCUCACAACCCUCUUGUGUGCAACUUGGCCUUGCUGACUGCUCGGUGCAGCGAAACUGAUCAGCUGUCUAUGUGGAGUAAAGGGAAAGUGCUCAGGGUUUGCUCAGGAUUACCCUUAAUCAGUUAACGUGCAGAAGAAAUGCUGCAUCCGUUCUUUCUUACCCCAUCCCACCUGACACAUAAAUGCUGUACUCUCUCCACUAACUAAAGGUGAAAUUCUGCUCCCAGAGAAUUCUUUUGUAAGCACGACCAUGCUGAGAUACACAAAGAGUUAAGCUUUCUCGAUUCCUUGUGGUUUACUCAUUUAAAUCAGCAUCGCUACAGAGCAGAAACUAUUUUGGCUCUAUGCAUAAGUGGAAUAUCUAAUAUAGAAUUACAUUAUAAUGAAAUAUGCAUUAAUGCAGGCUCAUAAAGUGCUUUUCAUGUUCUGUGGACAUCCAAAAGUUGAAAAUGCCUAUAAUCUUAUUUUAGUUGCUGCUCAAGUGAUGAUUCAUCAGGUUAAUACACUUAAUUAAAAGUCACAUUUGAAGCAUUCAAAGGGAUAGUUAGUUCGCUAUUGGCAUUUGCUGUAACACAGUUAAGCAUUGUGGAAACAAGACAAUGGGAUGUGUCACUCCUACGAACAGAAGGAAGACCUUUAAUGAUUUUCAGGAAACAGCAUGUGCUUGACACCCAAGGAAAUGUAGCUAACUGUAUCCUAAAAUAUUAGCCAUUAAUAAUAAAUUUGUGCUUAAAGAGACACUCUCAAAAUAAUACCCAAACUACGUUUAGAUGAAAAUUAAUGAAAAAGAGAUAUGUCCACGUGUCAUUUAUUCCACAGCUCAGGUCUGAUUAGUUGACUGUUGGUCACAGUCGUCAGAAAUGGGCCAAGACGGUCGAGACUGUCCCUUUUGGCUUCUGAUGACCUACCUGUCCCCAGGGUUGAAGGUGAGACUUGAAACUAAUUAAGUCCACUCCCCACCGCUUGGCACUGAAUUUAAAAUAAAAUGACUGAGCUCAUUCCGUUCACAAACAUCUUGACUUCCCAUUAAUAGCGCUUUAUCCUUUUCUUCUCCUGCCCUCAAGUUCAUGUUGGCUUAAAACGCAGUUGGGCUGCCCUCUGCUCACACGGCUCCCACUGAUGCUGUGCCGUCCCGCCGAUGGCCCUGGCCAGCCCAUCAGGUGGCACACAUGGUCCCUCACCUCACCAUCUGUUUCCUCCACCUCGGACUCAAAGCCUGGCGUGGCGGGUCAUAGCCCAGUCAAAUUCCACUUUUCCUAGAAUUGCACCUCCAGCAUUUUUGUAAAAAGUAUUUUGAAAGCUCUUUCUCAGGAUUUCCUUCUAAUUACCCUCCCUCCUAUAUUACGGAGAAAAAAUCCCCAGAGAGCCAAGCCUGCAGGUACGGGGGCCGAAGAAAAGCUGAGGGGAAAGGGAGCCGUGCCCAGGGACGUGGGCCCCAGACUCCUGAGGUCCCUCCAGCGAGGACCCCGUAGUUCCCGCGGAGGACGGGACCAGCCCUUCCCGAAGGGGAACAGCUGGGAGGCUGCGCAGACGAAUGGAAGAGAAAGGGUGCUCCUUGGGCCGGGAGGAGACCCGAGACCCCGCCAGGCGGGCACCGGGAGGCAGAGGGUCGUGCACACAGGUGUGCCCAGCUUCUCCCGUGUAACCACCCUCCCCCCGAAGAAUCUGAUGGGAAAUCAAAAUUGUUUCGCUAAUCAACGAUUUUAAAUUUCAUGUCAAUAGAGAUCCACUGCUGCCAACACACAGGGGAGUUUCCUUUACGGGGUCUACAAGUUAUUCAUUUUUUCCUUUUGGCUAUUUUGUUCCUCCUGGCUUUACUGAGUACCCUGUUCUGCCCCGGGCUCAGUUUCUCACCUUUUGCAUCAACUCCCCUGCCGCCACUUCCACCCCAAACGUGCGCGCGCGCGCGCAAACACACACACACACACACACACACACACACACACACACACACACACACACUUCAAGGGACAAUAAAUUACUAGAUCCGUAAAAGGUUGCCCUAAAUAGGAAACAUUCCUUAUACGGUAGGAUUUUUUGUCAGCAUUAUGGAGCAAUGUGUUGUUUGGGUCACGGCUAUACUGAGGCUCAGAAACAGGUCCUUGUUCUUAAAUGGUUGGACUCUUGAAAGUCAGCUGUUGGCAUUCCUGACCCUUUUAGAGCAAGUGCCACAUGCAGAGAUCAACUUGAGUGGAAAGUUUGGGGCCCACAUCAGGCAAUAAGGUCAUAUUUUCAGGGUGCUUUGACGAGAACUUUAAAUGGGUCAUAUGUGGUCAAGCAAAGUUGAUGCAGAGUACUGAAACAGCACAAAACAAGCACACUUGCAGACAGGCAAGAACAGCAUUAUCAGCAAGGAAAAACCCAGGUACUGUUCUCACAAUCUUUCCGGUCCAUAACAAAUACGGUAAUGGGGGAACAGAUCAAGCUAAUCAGGGAGAACAACCCAGAUAUCCUCCAGCAACUAAAGCUAACUUGUGCCAGAAACAGGAGAGGCCCUGUGUACAACUUGUGGAAGCUGGGAAAGUUCCAGCAAUGGUGACAAUAUUACUUCCAGGUGGAGAACUGGAUGUUCUGAAAAAGAGGAUCUCAGGGAACUGGGCUGAGAAUACUGUGUAGGGUUUUGAAUCAGGGAGAUGAAGGAAGGGGCAUGUGUCGGACAUGAUCGGGGCAUCUAGACUCCAGUGUUACGUCAGCACCCAUUUAAGAUGGCAGAGUUCACCUGAUUCUUUAUGGCUCACUGUUGCUGUGUUUUCAGGCUGUUCAGAAUGGUUCUGUGAAACAAUCUUUAAUAUCAUGAAAGAUCUUGAAACCACUUUGUAUUUUUUUUUUUUUAAUUACUAGACUUUACUUUUUAGAGCAGUUUUUAGGUUUACAGAAUUUUGAGCAGAGUUGAGCAGAGUUCCCAUAUACUUCACCACUCUCUGCCCAUCGUUUCCCCUAUUAUUAUUUUGCAUUCGUGUGGUACAUUUGUUACAACUGAUGAGCCAAUAUUGAUACAUUAUUAUUAACUAAAGUCCAUAGUUUACAUUGGGUUCCACUCUUUCUGCUGCACAUUCUAUGGGUUUUGGCAAAUAUGGAAUGACAUGUACCCACCAUUACAGUAAGAUAUGUAAUAGUUUACUUUUUUAAAGACAGCUGAGACUCUGAUUUCUAGAUAUCUAUCUAUUAUUGAUUAAAAUAAGUAUUAUUGCAGGCAAGAAAAACAGAUAGUACUUGUACAAGGAGCAGAAACGUUUAUGUAGAAAAACUCCCUCUGUUGACACACAUUGCAAUCAGGAAGAGAGGAGCCUUUCAGAACCUUUCUUUUCUUAGUAAGAAUAGCUCAUCCAGGUUUGCAACUUUUUUGCGGUACGCGGGCCUCUCACUGUUGUGGCCUCUCCCGUUGCGGAGCACAGGCUCCAGACGCGCAGGCUCAGCGGCCAUGGCUCAUGGGCCCAGCCGCUCCGCGGCAUGUGGGAUCUUCCUGGACUGGGGCGCGAACCCGC